rnacentral:tRNA from 1 species
GCUGAGACAGCUCAGUCGGUAGAGCAUGAGACUCUUAAUCUCAGGGUCGUGGGUUUGAGCCCCAUGUUGGGCA